AUACCUUUCUCGGCCUUUUGGCUAAGAUCAAGUGUAGUAUCUGUUCUUAUCAGUUUAAUAUCUGAUAUGUGGACCAUUGGUUCACAUGAUAUUAACUCAAUUUUUUAAGGGGAAGAGUCCAUCAAGGUAGCUUGCUGCCUGGGCUCUUGCGCGUCGCCCAUGCGUUGCACUACUGCACGGGCCUGGCGCACCCCAC
rnacentral:snRNA from 15 species